UACGUAGGGGGCAAGCGUUAUCCGGAAUUACUGGGUGUAAAGGGAGCGUAGACGGCGCGGCAAGUCUGAAGUGAAAGGCAGGGGCUCAACCCCCGGACUGCUUUGGAAACUGUUUGACUGGAGUGCAGGAGAGGUAAGUGGAAUUCCUAGUGUAGCGGUGAAAUGCGUAGAUAUUAGGAGGAACACCAGUGGCGAAGGCGGUCUGCUGGACAGCAACUGACGCUGAGGCGCGAAAGCGUGGGGAGCAAACAGG
rnacentral:rRNA from 1 species